rnacentral:miRNA from 1 species
AAUCGGUUGUAGAGAAGACGAU